rnacentral:tRNA from 1 species
GCUUCGCUGGUCUAGUCGGUUAUGACAUUGGUCUCAUAUAGCUCAUAUAUAUGAGGAUAUCCUGAGAUAUCCAAGGGUCGAGAGUUCGAAUCUCUCGCGAAGCA